UAAGACAUAGUAUAAUAAGUAUAAUUCACUUACAUUGAAUUGGUGAUCUAAAAGGAUCUGUUUUAA
rnacentral:tRNA from 1 species